AGCUUUUUAGUGGUGGAUUGUACUUCUCUUGGUCUGUUCCUGGUUAUCAGGAGGGAAAUUGAUUAGUAAUCUUGCUGUGACUUUGACAGUGUAUAAUCGGGAUUUAACUGCUAACAAGAACUCAGUUUCUCAUCUGUGGUCCUUCCCAUAAGAAAAUCAGUUUAAGUACAGAGAUACUGGGGAAAAAGAGUUUUCUGUCACCCUUAUGCAAACUACAUUAAGACAGAGCAAAUUCCUCAGUCCCAUCGUAUGCAAAAUUACUGAAAUAACUGAAAUUUAAAGCAGGGCUCUGAGCCUCAGUUCUGUUUUGACAUUACCACUGAAUGGUGAAAAACAUCUCACAUAUGCAGUGUAGAAAACUGUAUUCUGGAGCUCUUUAUCAUAAAGAGUAUUCUUGAACAUUUUGAAUUAGUCAGUUGUUGUCAGUAUUAUUGCUACUCUUGAUGUACUUAUUUCAUAACUUGUUUCAUGUUUCUGAAUCACCUGAACUGGGAAGGUGACAUCCUUUUUCUGUAGUUUCAAGGAUCAUGUAUAGCUCACUUAGCAGUAACUUGAUUUGUCCUUAACUUGGGUUUUCCCCAGACAUUCCUUGCUAAUGUGAUCUUUUAAUACCUUCUAAUUGUUCCCGUUGUAAACCAAUAAGCUGGUCAUUCUGUGUUCUUGUAUUCCUUCCCAUGCACACUUUAGACAGUCUGCCACUUGCAGUUCCAAGACAAUUGCUGUCUCAGUUCUGUUUUAUCAAGACUUUUCAGUCCAGUUUUCUAAUUCACUUGUCUUUACAACUGCUUCUCUGCAGAUACCAGUUGGGGUCCUGCUCCUCUCUGUUAUAAAAUGAAUAUUUUUGUUUUCCUCACAAAUUUGCCAUUAACUUGAAUUCUGGUUUGGCUAGUGUGUGGAAGUCAGUUUCCCUUCUUUUGUAGCUGUGAGUUUUAUUCCUCUAUGGAUGUAUGUCUCCUUUCCUAGAGUAGUUUGAGCUACAUCUAACUGCUACAAUCUGGAAUAGAAAUUUUACUGAAAGAAAUGUUUUUCAACUAAAUGCUGAGUUUUCUUUUCAAAUGCUAAUACAGAUAAUUUCUAGCUUUUACUUAGUUUUUGGAAAUCACGUACUGCUGUCCAAGAAACAGCUUGUAGCACUGUCUGUAUGCCUCAUGAUUACAUCUGAAGAUCCUACUUGAGUUUUAUUGGAAAUAUUAUCAAUAAAGAAAUUGCAUUUGGUUCAGUUAAAU
rnacentral:lncRNA from 1 species